rnacentral:rRNA from 1 species
GACGAACGCUGGCGGCGUGCUUAACACAUGCAAGUCGAACGGAAAGACCCUGCUUUUGUGGGGUGCUCGAGUGGCGAACGGGUGAGUAACACGUGAGUAACCUGCCCUUGACUUUGGGAUAACUUCAGGAAACUGGGGCUAAUACCGGAUAGGAGCUCCUGCUGCAUGGUGGGGGUUGGAAAGUUUCGGCGGUGGGGGAUGGACUCGCGGCUUAUCAGCUUGUUGGUGGGGUAGUGGCUUACCAAGGCUUUGACGGGUAGCCGGCCUGAGAGGGUGACCGGCCACAUUGGGACUGAGGUACGGCCCAGACUCCUACGGGAGGCAGCAGUGGGGAAUAUUGCACAAUGGGCGGAAGCCUGAUGCAGCAACGCCGCGUGCGGGAUGACGGCCUUCGGGUUGUAAACCGCUUUCGCCUGUGACGAAGCGUGAGUGACGGUAAUGGGUAAAGAAGCACCGGCUAACUACGUG